rnacentral:rRNA from 3 species
GAAGCGGCAACAGCUCAAAUUUGAAAUCUGGCGCAAGCCCGAGUUGUAAUUUGUAGAGGAUGCUUCAGGGCAGCGGCCGGUCUAAGUUCCUUGGAACAGGACGUCAUAGAGGGUGAGAAUCCCGUAUGCGACCGGUUGGCACCCGUCACGUAGCUCCUUCGACGAGUCGAGUUGUUUGGGAAUGCAGCUCUAAAUGGGAGGUAAAUUUCUUCUAAAGCUAAAUACCGGCCAGAGACCGAUAGCGCACAAGUAGAGUGAUCGAAAGAUGAAAAGCACUUUGGAAAGAGAGUUAAAAAGCACGUGAAAUUGUUGAAAGGGAAGCGCAUGCAACCAGACUUGUCGGCGGUGUUCCGCCGGUCUUCUGACCGGUCUACUCGCCGCCGGCAGGCCAGCAUCAUCUGGGUGCGCCGGACAAAGGCGCGGGGAAUGUAGCUCCUCGGAGUGUUAUAGCCCCGCGCACAAUACGGCGCCGCCCGGGUGAGGUCCGCGCUUCGGCUAGGAUGCUGGCGUAAUGGUUGUAUGCGGCCCGUCUUGAAACACGGACCAAGGAGUCUAACAUCUAUGCGAGUGUUCGGGUGUCAAACCCCUACGCGGAAUGAAAGUGAACGGAGGUGGGAAGCGCAAGCUGCACCAUCGACCGAUCCUGAUGUCUUCGGAUGGAUUUGAGUAAGAGCAUAGCUGUUGGGACCCGAAAGAUGGUGAACUAUGCCUGAAUAGGGUGAAGCCAGAGGAAACUCUGGUGGA